rnacentral:rRNA from 2 species
UAGAUCUCAAAUCAGGUAGG